rnacentral:lncRNA from 1 species
CUCUGGGAAAACAAGGGCUGCGGGAAGGUGGAGGGGGCUGGCGGCUAAGCUGUCCGGGCUUGGCUGAGCGAACGCCACAGUUCUCCCUCUCAGAGCCCGGGUGCAGGGUCAGGAUCCCAGGCCCAAGCUGACCGUCAAGCACCGGUGCCUGCACUGAUGGGUUUCUUUCUGAGCCGGUGCAGCCCCGAGCAUGGUCAGGGCCCGAUAGAUGCGAGUUCCAUCUCGCCGGCUUCCUGGGGACGGGGACCAAGGGACCCCACCGCACUCUCUUCCCCAUCGCUCCAGCCCCGUCCAGGCCCCCUCCUCACUCUCCCCAUCGCUCCAGCCGCGUCCAGGCCCCCUCCUCACUCUCCCCAUCCUGGGCCGCCCUCUAGUGGCCUCCGCGCUUCCUGCUGGGGUCGGGUCGGGAAGGCCUCCAGCCCCGCGAGUCCCGGAACAGUAAGCGCGGACGCCCCGCGGCCUCAAGGGACGCCUCGGAAGUCUCCCCUGCCCUGCGGAGAACCCCAGGACUAAAUCCCUCCCGCCGCCGGGCGCUCCGACGCCUCCGUGCACGCCCGCGCCCCCGCGCGCCC